GAUGAACGCUGGCGGCGUGCCUAAUACAUGCAAGUCGAGCGAACAGACGAGGAGCUUGCUCCUCUGACGUUAGCGGCGGCCGGGUGAGUAACACGUGGAUAACCUACCUAUAAGACUGGGAUAACUUCGGGAAACCGGAGCUAAUACCGGAUAAUAUAUUGAACCGCAUGGUUCAAUAGUGAAAGACGGUUUUGCUGUCACUUAUAGAUGGAUCCGCGCCGCAUUAGCUAGUUGGUAAGGUAACGGCUUACCAAGGCAACGAUGCGUAGCCGACCUGAGAGGGUGAUCGGCCACACUGGAACUGAGACACGGUCCAGACUCCUACGGGAGGCAGCAGUAGGGAAUCUUCCGCAAUGGGCGAAAGCCUGACGGAGCAACGCCGCGUGAGUGAUGAGGGUCUUCGGAUCGUAAAACUCUGUUAUUAGGGAAGAACAAAUGUGUAAGUAACUAUGCACGUCUUGACGGUACCUAAUCAGAAAGCCACGGCUAACUACGUG
rnacentral:rRNA from 1 species